UUUCGUGCGGCUGUUUUGAAUGUGCUAACGAGGCACGUUAUUCUUAGCCGCGUCAGGGAGGGGAUCAGAUUCCUGCACAGUUGCGCUGCUGGCGGAAGUGACUUGUUUUCUAACGACCCUCGUGACAGCCAGAGAAUGUCCGUUUCUCGGAGCGCAGCACAGCCUGUCCCAUCGAGAAGCCUCGGGUGGACAUGGACUCCAUGGAAGCCUGAGCCACCAGGGGCUUCCCUGGGGCAGCACUGCUUCGCGUAGGCUCACGAGAAACUCCCAGGGUUCCUGGGAAAUGAAUGAAAAUAAACAAACAAAUUCCUUGCAUUCAACGCAGCGUAAGAAAAAUCACAUCCUGUUCCCCAGUAGCUGAGGAAAGCCGGCUCACGAGAGCAUACAGGGAGAAGAGGCCAGCAUUGUGUGGCUGCCAGCAAAGCUCACUUGUAUGUCAAAUGCAGCGCUUUUCUUAGCCCAUUAUGUAAUGUUUUUUUUUUCUCGAACACUCCUGUGUCUACGGGGAUCUCCUGUUUUUAUUGUUUUGGGAUGAGAUUUAAAAAACACCAUUUAAUGU